UACGUAGGAGACGAGCGUUUGUCCGGAGUUACUGGGCGUAAAGGGUGCGCAGGUGGCGGCGCGCGGUGGGGGUGAAAUCGCCCGGCUUACUGGGCGGGGGCCUUCCAGACGGCGGUGGGCUUGAGCAGCGGAGGGGGACGUGGAAUUCCGAGUGUAGAGGUGAAAUUCGUAGAUAUUCGGAAGAACACCAGUGGCGAAGGCGACUUACUGGCCCAUUCUGACGCUGAGGCACGGAAAGCGU
rnacentral:rRNA from 1 species